UAAAAUCUAUUAACCCUAACCCUAAUCCUAAUCCUAAAAAUCCCUAAUUUCGCCCUAGUUCCACUAACAGAACAAGAAAGAAAAAGAAAAAGGGGGAGAACCAGGAACCAGAGGACGCAGGGGAGAAUGAGAGAAGAGGGGGAAGGGGAGGAGAGCAUUGGUGGGGCUGGAAGCCGUCAUCGUCGUCGUCGUCGCUGUCGCGAGAGGAUUGAGAGAGAAAGAGAGAGAGAGAGUGAAGACACGCGGAAGAGUAGAAGGAAGAAGGCUCGCGCCAUCGUGCCCCAUCACUGCUAUGGUUUGUUAUAGGUAGCGUCGCCGUCGUUACCGAUUGCAAUCGCUGUCAUCGCAGUGGAGGAAGCCUAGAGAGAGAUGAACGAGGAGCCCGAGAGAGAGAGAGAGAGAGAGAGAGAGAGAGAGAGAGUCAUUCCUCUUCUGCUUCUCCUAGUGUCGCUUCCGCUGGAGUCUACCACCGCUGCCACCACCAUUAGAGAUGAACCCAAUUGUUCCCUUGCUUCCUGAGCUAUUUUCGUCACUGCUCUGGCUCUGUUGUAUGUCGUUACUAUGGUUGUUCGGCUGCUGCUGAGGUCUUCCACCAUCACCGAAGCUGCUUAGAACCAUCGUUGCUGCCAUACGUUCGUUCUUGCUUCUGCCCUGCCAUUCCCUCGGCUACCGAGACUGCCACUAAUGAAGCUGCUAUGUUGAGGAUACUGUAUAGCCAACCACUGAUGCCACAAUCCCGUCUCAUAUUUCUUCUAAUUUUGGCACAUUGAGGAAGACUUGUGGUAAAGCUACAAACGAGAAGUGAGUUUAUUAUUUAUAAGAUUGUAUUUGUAGUUUUUCCCUCGUCAUUUGUUAUCUUUGAUUUUGAUUUUCUUUUUAGAAGAGGCAGGUGUUGUAGUUUUCUUCUGUUUGAUUAACUAUUAUGUAUUACUAGUUAUGUGAAUAUGUUAUUGGUAUAUGUUUUGUAUAUUGAAUAAAAAGAGAAAAAUGUCUUUUCUUAUAACUGACAAUCGUUUAAUAUAAAAAAGGCUCAAUAUUAAAUAAGUCAUAUUAAUAAUGUUGAAAUUAAAAAAAAUAGGUUAGUAACACCUUAAUGGAAGAAGUUAGGUCGUUACAGUUGAAAUCUUUGAGGAUCUAAUUAUCACUUUACUCGUUUUAAAAUUUCUUAGAGACUAAUAUGUUCUUGUAGAAAAAUUAUAGGAACUUGUUCAUUAUUAAUUCAAUUCUUAAUUUUACAUGUUGCAAUAGGAGUGGCAAACGAGUCUGCUCGUCCUGUGCAACCAAAAGCCCACUAGCCCGCCCUAUGCCGUUUAUUCUAACAGUCUUGAAAUAGCUCCCUAUGAGUUGGGCAUUGAUAAACCACUAUUUUAUGAUUCAUAUUGUGUUUAAUUGUGUGGUUUUAUCAAGUCUUUGCCCACUUAUUCAUAUGAUUUGCAUGUAAUUACAAUUCCUUCCUAAAAAUAUUCUAUGAUUGAAAACAUGCUUUUUUGGCUUUUAUUUUCUUUUAUUUAAUCCUCUCUUAUUACCAUUAGAUGCCUUGAUAUGUGUGUUAAGUGAUUUCAGGAAUUAUAGGGCAGGAAUGGCUUAAAGGAUGGAAAGGAAGUAUGUAAAAAUGGAAGGAACACAAAGAAUUGAGAAGAUAACCAGCGAGAAGUCACGCGGUCACAUAAUUGACGCGACCACGCGAAAAGGAAGAAAUCACAGUGACGCACUCGCGUGCCUGACGCAACCGCGCGGAUUGGAAGCUGCAUGAACGAUGCGAAUGCGUGGACGACGCACACGCGUGGUAUGAGAAACGCUGAGUGACGCGAACGCGUGGACGACGUGGCUGCGUGACGUGUCCGAUCUGCAGAAUUUCAGAAGUCGCUGGCAGAGUUUCUGGGCCAGAUUUCAACUCAGUUUUCGGCCCAGAAACACAGAUUAGAGUCAGGGAACAUGCAAAGACAGACGACAACAUUCAUUCCGCAUAAUUUUUAGUUUUUAGAUCUGAAAUUUACUCCUCCCCUAGGUUUUACUUACUUGAACAUUCAUAAUUAGGAUUUUGAAGAUUUUGGCUUUAGCUUUUGAGAAGAGUCUACCUCCGGUACUAGUCACUAUAGUCUGUUAUUUACUUUUCAUUUAUUCUUCCAUGUUCUUAAUUCCUCCAGAGUUGACAUUGGAUUAUUUUCACAAGUUAUUAAUAUAGACUAUUUUUAUUUUCAAUUAA